rnacentral:rRNA from 1 species
GUGGGGAAUAUUGGACAAUGGGCGCAAGCCUGAUCCAGCCAUGCCGCGUGUGUGAAGAAGGCCUUAGGGUUGUAAAGCACUUUCAGUGGGGAGGAAGGGUGUUGUGUUAAUAGCACAGCAUUUUGACGUUACCCACAGAAGAAGCACCGGCUAACUCCGUGCCAGCAGCCGCGGUAAUACGGAGGGUGCAAGCGUUAAUCGGAAUUACUGGGCGUAAAGCGCACGCAGGCGGCUUUUUAAGUCGGAUGUGAAAGCCCCGGGCUCAACCUGGGAAUUGCAUCUGAUACUGGGAAGCUAGAGUAUGUGAGAGGGGGGUAGAAUUCCAAGUGUAGCGGUGAAAUGCGUAGAGAUUUGGAGGAAUACCAGUGGCGAAGGCGGCCCCCUGGCACAAUACUGACGCUCAGGUGCGAAAGCGUGGGGAGCAAACAGGAUUAGAAACCCUAGUAGUCC